rnacentral:rRNA from 1 species
GAUGAACGCUGGCGGCGUGCUUAACACAUGCAAGUCGAACGGGAAACCUUUUAUUGAAGCUUCGGCAGAUUUGGAUUGUUUCUAGUGGCGGACGGGUGAGUAACGCGUGGGUAACCUGCCUUAUACAGGGGGAUAACAGUCAGAAAUGACUGCUAAUACCGCAUAAGCGCACAGAGCUGCAUGGCUCGGUGUGAAAAACUCCGGUGGUAUAAGAUGGACCCGCGUUGGAUUAGCUAGUUGGUGAGGUAACGGCCCACCAAGGCGACGAUCCAUAGCCGGCCUGAGAGGGUGAACGGCCACAUUGGGACUGAGACACGGCCCAGACUCCUACGGGAGGCAGCAGUGGGGAAUAUUGCACAAUGGGGGAAACCCUGAUGCAGCGACGCCGCGUGAAGGAAGAAGUAUCUCGGUAUGUAAACUUCUAUCAGCAGGGAAGAAAAUGACGGUAC